rnacentral:rRNA from 1 species
AACGAACGCUGGCGGCAUGCCUAACACAUGCAAGUCGAACGAGACCUUCGGGUCUAGUGGCGCACGGGUGCGUAACGCGUGGGAACCUGCCCUUAGGUUCGGAAUAACUCCCCGAAAGGGGUGCUAAUACCGGAUAAUGUCUUCGGACCAAAGAUUUAUCGCCUUUGGAUGGGCCCGCGUUGGAUUAGCUAGUUGGUAGGGUAAAAGCCUACCAAGGCGACGAUCCAUAGCUGGUCUGAGAGGAUGAUCAGCCACACUGGGACUGAGACACGGCCCAGACUCCUACGGGAGGCAGCAGUGGGGAAUAUUGGACAAUGGGCGAAAGCCUGAUCCAGCAAUGCCGCGUGAGUGAUGAAGGCCUUAGGGUUGUAAAGCUCUUUUAACCGGGAGGAUAAUGACAGUACCGGGAGAAUAAGCUCCGGCUAACUCCGUG